AGGCGGCACGGUCGGCGGGUCUCACAGCUCCCGCGCGUCCGCUUCGGGGCCCAGGGGGCGAAACGUCCCGAAUGUCCGCCGACACCGGAGAGCUGAGCCGCGUACACUAUCAGGGGCGCAGGAACGUGAACUGGUACUUUUCUCAUUUCUAUGUCAUCUCAGUGCUGUGGAAUGGCUUCCUGCUUUGGUGCCUUACUCAAUGCCUGUUCCUGGGAGCGCCUUUUCCAGACUGGCUGUACACUUUACUCAGAAUUCUUGGGGCUGUGCAAUUCCGCGGGGGUGAGUUGGCGCUGUCUGCAUUCUUAGUACUGGUGUUUCUGUGGCUGCACAGCUUGCGGAGACUCUUCGAGUGCCUCUAUGUCAGUGUCUUUUCCAACGCUGUGAUUCACAUCGCGCAGUACUGCUUUGGACUCGUCUACUACGUCCUCGUCGGCCUAACUGUGCUGAGCCAAGUGCCGAUGGACGGCAGGAAUGUCUAUGUGGUAGGGAAAAAUCUCUUGAUGCAAACUCGGUGGUUCCAUAUCCUCGGUAUGAUGAUGUUCAUCUGGUCAUCGGUCCAUCAGUAUAAGUGCCACGUCAUUCUCGGCAAUCUCAGGAAAAAUAAAGCAGGAGUGAUCAUUCACUGUAACCACCGGAUCCCCUUUGGAGACUGGUUUGACUAUGUUUCCUCCCCUAACUACUUAGCAGAGCUGAUGAUCUACGUCUCCAUGGCCGUCACCUUGGGAUUCCAUAACAUAACUUGGUGGCUGGUGGUAACAUACGUCUUCUUCAGCCAGGCUCUGGCAGCUUUCCUCAGCCACAAGUUUUACAAAAGCAAAUUUGCCUCCUACCCGAAGCAUAGGAAAGCCUUCCUGCCGUUUCUGUUUUGAGAGAACCUCAGUCAUGAAGAAUGCAGGCCAGGUGGCUGGCUCAAUUCCUCAGGACAAGGACAUCUAGAGACCAAAGCGCAGUUUCGGCAGAGCUAUUAGAAACUCUGUGUUUAUACCCAAAGUCUUCACUGGAUGAGCAAAGCAAUGUCCAUCAAGAAAAUGAAACUUCAAAGCACUGCUUCUGGCAGACCCGGGAGUGCUGAGUUGCUUUACAAAACCAGCCAACUGCUAAAAACUGGAUGAGACUCCUCCAGGCUGCUUCAAAGCAAACUAACCCAGAGCGUGCACACAGCUCCAAACACGCACCUACCGCCACAGAGGAAGAGGAGAUCAUCUGUGGCUUUGUUAGGGACAAAUGAACUGGACAUCAUAAUAAGUGAUACAAUUUGCCAUCUUCAGGACCGGGACUCAGGAACCAAACUUUCUACAUUGGAAAUGUAAAGCAUAUUGUAGUUUGGCCUUAACGUCCACACCAAUGGCAUGAAUAAUUUUGAACAGCAAAUUACUUGGGAGGAAAUGUAUUUUGCUUCAGCAUGCCAUUUUACACUGGGUCAGACUAGAAUUUGGCCAAUGUUCUGGAAUGUCACUGUACUCGUAACUAAAGUAAUGAGCAUCCCUGU